rnacentral:lncRNA from 1 species
UUGGCUCGAUGGCCUGAGCCUGAUUCACUUGAGCUAACCUAUUUGGACCAAUUGAUCUAUUGGUGUCAAAAGCAAGUAAUUGAGAGGUGGUUAUUUAAUUGAUUCAGUUGGUUGACUUGAUAAAUUUAUUGAUAUCUAAGAAAGGCAAUGGGGGGACCCCCAUCGAUCUCCACUUAUCUGGCCAAUUUGAAAGAUUUGAGUCUUGAAAAGAUUGCUUGGCAUUUUGGUUUAGCCCAUGUCAAUU